GCUCGAACGUUCCGGUGCCGUAGUCGUGCACUUCUCCCCUAGUAGAACGUCGCGACCCGUUGUGUGUCGGCCUACGGCCCGAGCGGGUGCCUGGCGCGUCGCGUUUAGCGCASGCGGCAGACCCUCGGACGCCCGGCCGGCUGCACGACGGUAYUCCCACGGUAUCGGGCCGCAACCAAUCCAAUUUUCGAAUCGUAUGUGCGUCUAGCCCGCCSCAAGCUCGAUCAGUUCUUACCCGGUGGUCGGACCUASUGCCGUCCCCGGGCCUGAUCAGCUGUUAGCAGGCGGUGUUCUCGAACUGGCCAASCUUCUAAUUACCGGUCGGCGACCCUCCUGCUUUGGGUACUCUCAGGACCCGUCUUGAAACACGGACCAAGGAGUCUAACAUGUGCGCGAGUCAUUGGGAUGCACAAACCUAAAGGCGAAAUGAAAGUGAAGGU
rnacentral:rRNA from 1 species